UAACCUUGUUAAUAUUCUCCAACAUUAUGCUUUUAACUUCUGAAACUUGAUUGAGCCUUGACUUUUAUUAGUUUCUCAAUCUCCUCUGCAUGGUCAACAAAUCAAAUAUAUACUUGAUGUAAAGUGUUCUUUCAUCACAGGCCUGCAGUUUUCUCGAAUUAAAAUCUCUCACAUCUAUUCAUUACAAUGCCCCAAAAGUUUUAAGGUAGUAGGUGAUAGGUAACUUGUUCAGGCUUUUGGCUAUAGGUAACUUGUUCUUGGUUUAUAUUGUAUUAAAACUAGUUAUCAAGGCUCAGCUCAUUCAUCCUGUCUUCUGUGUGUGUUUAGACUAUCGAAAGCAGUCCAUAUGGAAAGGGAUAUAUGAUGGAGAAUAUAAUACGUUACCACCCUCUCUCAAUUGGACCUCUUUGCCCUCUAGUCCUUUAGCCACUUUCCCUCUCAUUUCAGGACAUUUGACUUUCUCAUUCAGAAGAAGAGGAAGCUAGUGGUCUUUGUACAUGCACUGCUUGGUUAAUGCAACUUAUAUGAUUUCACAGCACCCGCUAUGAGAAAUGCUGGAAGAAGACCGUAGUUUUGGUUGCAUAAACAGAAGCAGGAACGACUACAAUGCAGCUUGCCAAGGAGCAAAAGUCUGCAAAAAGAGGUAGUCAUUGGGAAUUCAAAUACACAGUAACUUUGGUUGCACAGACAGAAGCAGAAACGACUACAAUGUUAGCUUGCUCCUGGCAAAGAAGAAUCCAUUGUUCUGGUGUUAGAGAAGGCAAAUGUAUUGCUCUUCAGAAAGAGGAGUGAUGAUAGAUACUCAAAAAGGGGUUGGGGUUUUUUUUGAGUGUUAGAUACUUGCAUACAUAACAAUCACAAAGUCCAUUGAUCUCCAAAACCAAAGUUUUACAGUAAUUGAAAAGACUUAACA